rnacentral:rRNA from 1 species
UACGUAGGGCGCAAGCGUUGUCCGGAAUUAUUGGGCGUAAAGAGCUCGUAGGCGGUUUGUCGCGUCUGCUGUGAAAACCCGAGGCUCAACCUCGGGCCUGCAGUGGGUACGGGCAGACUAGAGUGUGGUAGGGGAGACUGGAAUUCCUGGUGUAGCGGUGGAAUGCGCAGAUAUCAGGAGGAACACCAAUGGCGAAGGCAGCUCACUGGGACGGUAUUGACGCUGAGACGCGAAAGCGUGGGGAGCAAACAGG